UCCUAAGCAGCAAUUCCAGGGG
rnacentral:siRNA from 1 species